CAUAGGUUUCACUCAUGCUGCCCUCCCCAGCCUUCGGAGGAAGUGCCUCUGCUUGACAGGCAGGGAAACUGAGGCAGGGGACAGUUCCAGAGUCUUCCAUGAGAAAGGCGAGCAGAUACCCUUAAUGGAGCACCUACGCCAUUUUAAACCUCAGGGCAUUCGCUGGGAGUAACACACGUCAAAUCCCUCUUGUCUGCCUAUGACCUCACAGGGGCGUGCAUGCUGAUAGGUCAGGCAGACACCAAAGCAUGGAAAUCUGGGAAGCUGGUGGCAUCCUCGGGAUGAAGAUGGGAAAGGAGCUGCCUGGAGCUACACAUGUCCUCCCUCCCCUGUUCCAGCAACUCCCAAGCCACCAGCAUCCCCAACCUGAACCGCUAUGACAGCCUCCUGGUCUGCUCUCUCCUACCUGUCUCCAUACAGAACCUUCUAAUGGCUUCUACUGCUGUCAGAACCAACCAUACCAUGCAUCUGGGUCUCCAACUCUGAUGCCACCCUUGCACGUCAGUUCCUCAGAGAUGUCAUCCUCCUCAUGAACCUGUUCCCCAGUCAGUAAUCAUGCAAGGUUGACUCUGGUGUUACCAGGAAGGUUUGAAGUUUCCCCGCAACAAAACGGUAAACCUGUAAGGUGAUGGAUAUGCUAAUUAUUAAUAAUGCAAUGUGUGCAUACAACAAAACCUCACAUUGUAACCCAUGAACUUGCAACAAUUAAUAUGCAUCAGCCCAAAAUGGAAUAAAGCUGAAACAAGGAUUGCCUCCAUCCCUCGUCCUCUAUCUCUGUGCCCUGCAGCAGCUCUGUCCCCUCAAGGGGCAGCUCCAGAAGGGCAGGAGCCAGGAGGUCAUGGUGUAGUUGGUGCUCAAUAAAAGCUAA